rnacentral:lncRNA from 1 species
CCGUAAAUGCUCAUUGAGUGUCCGCUGCUUCUAUAAUGAGGAAGUCCUGGGGAAAUACCUCAUAUUGUGUUCCUCCAUACUACAUAGCUAAGAAUGCUCUGAUCACAAGAGUCCUUUGCAUGUCUCUUCACUUCCCGGAUGGAUAGGAUGGAAACCUAUGAGAGUACACUUCUGUGACUAUGGGGGCUGGGGCGGGGAGAAGGAGGGGAAUCUUUUUCUUGUUACUUAAUUUACUA